AUAUUUAUCUGGUGGGGAGACACUAUGAUCAGGAAGAUGGUUUUCCCAAGCCAAAGUUCAUCCAUUGCACUUGGGAUGUGCUGAAUCCUGUGAUUUCCCCAAAUGAGGAAAACUCAGCUGCAUAACUUGUGGUAGUGGAGGACUGCGUGCAUGCUCUCCCCUG
ensembl:snRNA U1 U1 spliceosomal RNA